rnacentral:rRNA from 1 species
GAUGGACGCUGGCGGCGUGCCUAAUACAUGCAAGUCGAGCGAACGGACGAGAGGCUUGCUUCUCUGAGGUUAGCGCGGGACGGGGGGGUAACCCGUGGUUAACCUACCAAUAAGACGGGGAUAACUUGGGGAAACCGGGGCUAAUACCGGAGGUUUUUUUCAACCGCAGGGUUCAAAAUUGAAAGAGGGUUUGGUGGUCACUUAUAGAUGGAUCCGCGCUGCAUUAGCUAGUUGGUAAGGUAACGGCUUACCAAGGCAACGAUGCAUAGCCGACCUGAGAGGGUGAUCGGCCACACUGGAACUGAGACACGGUCCAGACUCCUACGGGAGGCAGCAGUAGGGAAUCUUCCGCAAUGGGCGAAAGCCUGACGGAGCAACGCCGCGUGAGUGAUGAAGGUCUUCGGAUCGUAAAACUCUGUUAUUAGGGAAGAACAUAUGUGUAAGUAACUGUGCACAUCUUGACGGUACCUAAUCAGAAAGCCACGGCUAACUACGUG